rnacentral:rRNA from 1 species
UGCCAGCCGCCGCGGUAAUACGAAGGGGGCGAGCGUUGUUCGGAAUUACUGGGCGUAAAGGGCGCGUAGGCGGCUCUUUAAGUUAGGCGUGAAAGCCCCGGGCUCAACCUGGGAACUGCGCUUAAGACUGGAGAGCUAGAAAACGGAAGAGGGUAGUGGAAUUCCCAGUGUAGAGGUGAAAUUCGUAGAUAUUGGGAAGAACACCAGUGGCGAAAGCGGCUACCUGGUCCGGAUUUGACGCUGAGGCGCGAAAGCGUGGGGAGCAAACAGGAUUAGAUA